rnacentral:rRNA from 1 species
AACGAACGCUGGCGGCGUGUUUAAGACAUGCAAGUCGCACGGGAUUGAUUGAGUAGUAAUACAAGAUCAGUCUAGUGGCGCACGGGUGAGUAACACGUGAAUUACAUGCCCUGCAGAGGGGGAUAGCCCAGGGAAACUUGGAUUAAUACCCCAUGGUCUCGCAAGAGUAAACGGUGGCCCUGUUAAAGGGGCUGUCGCUGCAGGAUUGGUCCGCGUCCUAUCAGCUUGUUGGUGAGGUAACGGCUCACCAAGGCUACGACGGGUACCUGGUCUGAGAGGACGAUCAGGCACACUGGAACUGAGACACGGUCCAGACACCUACGGGUGGCAGCAGUCGAG